AUUGAGAUGACUGAAUUAGGUAAUAAACUGUAAAUUUAUUUAUGGAUAUUUUUCCUCUCAAUA
rnacentral:tRNA from 2 species